rnacentral:rRNA from 1 species
AUUGAACGCUGGCGGCAGGCUUAACACAUGCAAGUCGAGCGGGGUGAUGGUGCUUGCACUAUCACUUAGCGGCGGACGGGUGAGUAAUGCUUAGGAAUCUGCCUAUUAGUGGGGGACAACAUCUCGAAAGGGAUGCUAAUACCGCAUACGUCCUACGGGAGGAAGCAGGGGAUCACUUGUGACCUUGCGCUAAUAGAUGAGCCUAAGUCGGAUUAGCUAGUUGGUGGGGUAAAGGCCUACCAAGGCGACGAUCUGUAGCGGGUCUGAGAGGAUGAUCCGCCAGACUGGGACUGAGACACGGCCCAGACUCCGACGAGAGGCAGCAGUGGGGAAUAUUGGACAAUGGGGGGAACCCUGAUCCAGCCAUGCCGCGUGUGAAGAAGGCCUUAUGGUUGUAAAGCACUUUAAGCGAGGAGGAGGCUCUUUUGGUUAAUACCCAAGAUGAGUGGACGUUACUCGCAGAAUAAGCACCGGCUAACUCUGUGCCAGCAGCAGCCGCAG